GGGUGAGUAACGCGUGGAUAAUCUACCUUUAGGAUCGGGAUAACAGUUGGAAACGGCUGCUAAUACCAAAUACGCUGCAUAUUAACUUAUGUGGGAAAGAUGGCCUCUCCAUGGAAGCUAUCACCUGAAGAUGAGUCCGCGUUCCAUUAGCUUGUUGGUAGGGUAAUGGCCUACCAAGGCGACGAUGGAUAGCUGGUCUGAGAGGAUGAUCAGCCACACUGGAACUGAAACACGGUCCAGACUCCUACGGGAGGCAGCAGUGGGGAAUAUUGCGCAAUGGGGGAAACCCUGACGCAGCGACGCCGUGUGCGGGACGAAGGCUCUAGGGUCGUAAACCGCUGUCAGGAGGGAAGAACCGUACUAGUUCAAAUAGGGCUAGUACCUGACGGUACCUCCAGAGGAAGCACCGGCUAACUCCGUGCCAGCAGCCGCGGUAAUACGGAGGGUGCAAGCGUUAAUCGGAAUCACUGGGCGUAAAGCGUGCGUAGGCGGCCUGUCAAGUCAGGUGUGAAAGCCCUCGGCUCAACCGGGGAAUUGCACUUGAAACUGGCAGGCUAGAGUCUCGGAGAGGGUGGCGGAAUUCCCGGUGUGNGAGUGAAAUCCGUAGAUAUCGGGAGGAACACCAGUGGCGAAGGCGGCCACCUGGACGAUGACUGACGCUGAGGUACGAAAGCGUGGGUAGCAAACAGGAUUAGAUACCCUGGUAGUCCACGCUGUAAACGAUGGAUGUUA
rnacentral:rRNA from 1 species